rnacentral:rRNA from 1 species
CAUGGUCUUAGCUUGCUAAGACUGAUGGCGACCGGCGCACGGGUGAGUAACACGUAUCCAACCUGCCGUCUACUCUUGGACAGCCUUCUGAAAGGAAGAUUAAUACAAGAUGGCAUCAUGAGUCCACAUGUUCACAUGAUUAAAGGUAUUCCGGUAGACGAUGGGGAUGCGUUCCAUUAGAUAGUAGGCGGGGUAACGGCCCACCUAGUCUUCGAUGGAUAGGGGUUCUGAGAGGAAGGUCCCCCACAUUGGAACUGAGACACGGUCCAAACUCCUACGGGAGGCAGCAGUGAGGAAUAUUGGUCAAUGGGCGAGAGCCUGAACCAGCCAAGUAGCGUGAAGGAUGACUGCCCUAUGGGUUGUAAACUUCUUUUAUAAAGGAAUAAAGUCGGGUAUGCAUACCCGUUUGCAUGUACUUUAUGAAUAAGGAUCGGCUAACUCCGUGCCAGCAGCCGCGGUAAUACGGAGGAUCCGAGCGUUAUCCGGAUUUAUUGGGUUUAAAGGGAGCGUAGAUGGAUGUUUAAGUCAGUUGUGAAAGUUUGCGGCUCAACCGUAAAAUUGCAGUUGAUACUGGAUAUCUUGAGUGCAGUUGAGGCAGGCGGAAUUCGUGGUGUAGCGGUGAAAUGCUUAGAUAUCACGAAGAACUCCGAUUGCGAAGGCAGCCUGCUAAGCUGCAACUGACAUUGAGGCUCGAAAGUGUGGGUAUCAAACAGG